CUGAGAGGCAGUGACUUGUGUUAGUAGAAGAAAGUCACUAAAGUUUUACUGUGGGUCGAAAGAGCUACAGAUGCUGGCGGACCUAAUUAUUGAAACACACUCAAAUGGUCUCUCUUUUUUAAACAUAGGGAGCAAUACAUGGAAAGACUGCUGUGCUGGCCCAUCGUGGUGCCUUUUGCAAAGAUCAGAUCAUCCAAGAGGCCCGCUCUGAUCUGACCAAAGACUUUAUAGCCAUUUGGUGGUUGAUGAAGACACAGCGCUGGAAAUCUUGGAACCACCCCAGGUCCUGACUCCUCAAGACACCCCAAGCAAGGGCUUUUUCUGUGGUUGGUAAAACAAAGAUUACACGCUCAGCUGUGUUAACAAAGGAGACAUGGCACCAGCACUCAACUCCGCACCCUUCCACUGACAGGAACCUCCAGGAGAGAAUGAGUCUCAUCCAUGCAAAGAUGAAGUAUACAGGGCUGGAAAAGUGGGGGUCGAGGAGAAUGAACAGGGUACCUGAUCCUACUUGUAUCCAAUGGAAGUUGCCAGAGGAAGAAUUGUACGCAGGAGAGGUGUGGACAUCCUCCUGAGGCUUUCCCAGUCUCCCCAGGAGCCAUCU